AUUGAACGCUGGCGGCAGGCCUAACACAUGCAAGUCGAACGAGUGGCGGACGGGUGAGUAAUGUCUGGGAAACUGCCUGAUGGAGGGGGAUAACUACUGGAAACGGUAGCUAAUACCGCAUAACAUCCGAUGUGCCCAGAUGGGAUUAGCUAGUUGGUGGGGUAACGGCUCACCAAGGCGACGAUCCCUAGCUGGUCUGCGAGGAUGACCAGCAACACUGGAACCGAUCAACGUUCCAGAGUCCUACGGUAGGACGCAGUGGGGAAUAUUGACCAAUGGGUGCAAGCCUGAUGCAGCCAUGCCGCGUGUAUGAAGAAGGCCUUCGGGUUGUAAAGUACUUUCAGCGGGGAGGCGUUACCCGCAGAAGAAGCACCGGCUAACUCCGUGCCAGCAGCCGCGGUAAUAC
rnacentral:rRNA from 1 species